rnacentral:ncRNA from 2 species
CUGAAAAUUAAAGCGCCAGAACCCGGAAAUUGCCGGUCAGCCAGUUAGUUUAAAGGAUGUUUCCGGGUUGACGAGGUGGGAGUUUAUCGAAGUUUUCGGCGGAUGCUCCCCGGUUGGCCACGACCGUGAACGACACUACAAAACCGGCCGGCAACGGCCGGGACAAAGGGUGUCCGGUGGCAUGAG